UCACUUUGAAAUUGCAAAAACGGGGGCCGCGCCCUGACGUCAUGCGGCCAUUUGGUUACAUCAUCACGGGCUGCCUACGUCAUUGUGGCAAAGUCGUUUCUCUUCGCCAGUCUACAAGCACUAAUUUUAGUUGGUAUUUCAAGGGAAGAUGGGCGAUUCCGAACAAUCCUCUGUCCCCAGCAAUGAAGGCAGCGAUGCUGAGGCCAGUGAGGACGACCAACAGCCCACCGCCGCGUAUGGUUGGGGCAGGGAGCCCAGAUACUCUGCUGAGGAGCUGCCAUCGCGUGUAACAAAUGUGGAGGAAGAAGAUGCGUCAGCAGCUGCGUCCGACAGAAGACGAGUAGCUUGGCCACCAGAAUCUCGAUUCGUUUGGGACUCCGACUGGUGCGAGCGUGGACAAAAUUGUAUAGCCAUGCCCAGCCCGCGGGAAUGAUUUUGCUGGUAGGAUGCUGCCGUCGCUGUCGACAAGACGGCCCAAGGUUUCUUGCGUAGCGGACCUCGCAGAUUACGAGAUCGUAUCCUUGCAUUAGGCUGUGCUCAUCACUGCUCUUCGAGGUUAUCUCGACAUGCAGAAGCCGCCAAUGCCAGUGACAGAAGAGUCUGACAUUAGAUCUCUACGCUAUGCGGCACACAGGCAGUACACACUAUGUACACGGCAAAUUGGGCAAGCACGUUCGUUGUCGUCUUCCAGCCUGCGUUGUGAAUACCAUCAGGCAAAGAUAUCCAAAUCCUGCACCACCUCAGCCUUCUCAGGAGGCUUCCACCUGGAAUUUGGCAGGGAAACACGCUUCUCCAAGGCAGGAACAUGGAGGUUGCCAUUUGCAACCGCUACCACCUCACACAUGAGCUUGUCAACAUACUGAUAGCUCUUUCUGUCGUAUAAUUUUCUAUUUGGCCACAGUCUUCUUUAUGCUUUGAGAACUGGACUUUAUACCUUCCUAUCGCGGUCUUUUUGGUUGUGCUGUGGCGACGGUUGACAUUGACGUCGUCAAGAGCUGCGAGAUGUGCGUGUCCAAUCAUCCCCAGAAUUGAGAAACGAAUGCGUUUGAGAAUGUAGUUUGGCAUGACACUGUGAUAUACCUGCAUGGCAAAAAUAAUGUGGAGAAAACAAACUUGCUUAGACAAUAUACUGCUGUAUGAGAAAAUGGAAACUUCACCGUACAGGACGACUCUUGUUCUCAAUUGCAUUGUUCGUUUCAUUCCCUGUGUUGCCCAUAAGAGACGGGAGCAAAAAUGUUGCAGCAGAUGUUUGUUGUCUUCUGGCGUGGAGUGGCGGCGUCAUUAGAUGUACACAUAGUCAUUUCACUAAGUAUACCACUACUACAGCAUAUGUACUAUCCUUAGGCUAGCGUGCGUGCGAGUGAGUUUGAGUAUGUGGGUGAUGGUGUGAGUGCAUGUGUAUAAUAUGUGUAGUUCCCACUGUAUUCCUUGCACAAUAGGUCUUCACUUACUUUUCUUUCGCAUACAACCAGAACCCAUUCCUUGUUCGAAAUUAGAUUUUUUUUGGCCUGGUGAUCCCGCAAGCGUGGAACUCGGAGUGUAAUAUAUUUUUGUUUCACUUUACUUGCACUAUUCCAAGGCUGUCCAGACUUCUAACAACUGCUCUGAGUGAUAUGGUAUUCAUGCAACCAUGCCUAGAAGUAGGGUAGCUGUUAUAAAUAGAGACAUAUCCACGCAAUCAA